rnacentral:rRNA from 1 species
GAUGAACGCUGGCGGCGUGCUUAACACAUGCAAGUCGAACGGAAAGGCCACAGCUUGCUGUGGUACUCGAGUGGCGAACGGGUGAGUAACACGUGGGUGAUCUGCCCUGUACUUCGGGAUAAGCUUGGGAAACUGGGUCUAAUACCGGAUAGGAAUCACAUGUGGGUGUGUGGUUGGAAAGCUUUUGCGGUAUGGGAUGAGCUCGCGGCCUAUCAGCUUGUUGGUGGGGUAAUGGCCUACCAAGGCGUCGACGGGUAGCCGGCCUGAGAGGGUGUACGGCCACAUUGGGACUGGGAUACGGCCCAGACUCCUACGGGAGGCAGCAGUGGGGAAUAUUGCACAAUGGGCGCAAGCCUGAUGCAGCGACGCCGCGUGGGGGAUGACGGCCUUCGGGUUGUAAACUCCUUUCGUCAGGGACGAAGCGAAAGUGACGGUACCUGGAUAAGGAGCACCGGCUAACUACGUG